AUAUUAACUGAACAAUGAAAAGAAGUUUAUGCAACAAACAGCAAUUAGAAAGUAAAUAAGUUGAGUCUGUAGGUAAAAUGUAAAGAAGUUUACAGCACUUACCGAAGGAGGAAGGAAGGAGGAAGAAAGACUUGGUAGUGGGGGGGCUGGCGGAGAAGGGGUUCUUUGGAAGGCAUGGCCUUCUUUCCGCACCGUUCAACCAUUUCUCAACAUUUAGGGGGUUCACGGUGAUCUUGCAUCCAAACUUCACUACAAAUAAAGUUAUAUCACAGAAAAUACGUUGAGGGCACAAUAAAAGUAAAUACGUGAGUAGUUCAAAAGGUGUAAAACCAGUGCGUGCGCACAGCCCACUGACGAGUCACGGGACAUGCUUCCUCCUCCUUCCUCCUCCUUCCUCCACUGCGCAGUGUGCUUCGGGUUCAUCCCCACGCGGCAGCCACUCCUCUUCCUUCCAUGUGAUGUUCUCCGACUAGAAACUGCUGUGCCGAGUAAUAAGCUGGUGACUGUGUCUUUGCCUGAAACCAUAAAGUCAAAAUAUUACUUCUUGCAGCAUAUGGCAUUGGGUGAAAACAUGGUCAUACUGAAAAAAAAAGAAGCCACUGUCUGAAAAGCGUGGAACCGUUCAAAGCCGUAACGGCAGUAGGUCAUUACCGAACGUCUGUGUGCGGGCUGCGGGUGUAGCUGAGGGGCCGGGGCAGGAAGAGGCAGCACCCAGGCCUCCUUACAGGGUCUCACUGGGUAACAGUGAGCGGAGUCCUUCCGGCCGCGGGGGAGCCCGGACUGCAGACAAGCCUCCGCACACCCCGCCUCCCGGGCAGGGCCCAGGGCCCAAACUCCCUCCUGUGUUCUCCUUCAGCCGGAUUUGAGGGACUCGGGUGUGUCUGGGCUGAAAGUGUUAGAGCUUCCACCAAGCUGCUGCGGAUGUCCCCAGUGGGCGUUCGCUUGUGACUCUUAAAGAAACAGGCCUGAGGCCCGCUCUGACGGCCAGAGUCAGCUUAAGGGCUUGUUUCGUUCCGGGAGGAAUCGAGUCGCGUUGGGCAGUGAACACCCCCUGGGAGAAAGAACAGGACGCUUCACCUGUGCCCGCUGCUGUGUCCCCGGUUCUUCUGAAAUCUCCCGCACGCCGCGUCUGUUCUUAUUCCCCUGGGCCCGCUGGAAGCCCAGCUAGGGGCAGCCAGGGCCAAAGGGCACGGGCUUCGGGGCUGGCCAGAAGGGCACUCGGCUCCCCCACUUCCUCCCCUGACCACAUUCAAGUCGUCCCUCCCCUCCCGCCACCUCCCGCAACCUUCCUCCGCCCUCGCGUCCUCCUCGGAUGGCAUCACGCACGUUCUCUCUUAGCUGACGUCACCAGGCGCGAGCGUUCAUCCGCAUCUCAUCGGGAAGACUUUCCAGGGCUGGACUUGAACCCUGGAGCGCUCCCGGCACGUGUCUGUCCCUCCAGCGGUUCGGGGACUCUAGGAGACUCUUUCUCUGGCUCUCGCGCUGGCUCCCUGCCGCUGGCGCUCUCCCGGCCGUCGUCACCGUCCCGUCGUCACCGUCCCGGGAGGAGGGCCGGCCCGCAGUCGGCCUGUGGACUGCGGCGUGAGCGCCCGCGAGCUACGAGUCCUCCAACGGGCCCCGUGCUGCCAAGGCUAGUGAAGCCUGAGCGUCCGCUGCUCAGGGACAGAGAGGAGUCAGCUCGACCCGGAGGCCAGAGAGACCCCGGCUCCUCCGGGCCGUGACCUGGGGCCCCCGCCCUGCCCUGCGGCCCGCGGACUGCCCAACCUGACCGUAGGUACCACGCUGGCCGCUCUGCUGCCCCAGGACUCUGAUGCUGGUCGCCGGGAUCUCCUCCGGCACAGGGAGGAACUCCCACCCCAGCUCCAUCGUCGGGCCGGUGACUGAGCCGGGGCGCUGCCCGCGCCCGUGGAGCCUCAGCGGCGGCUUGUUUUAGGAGAAGAGCAGCGGGACUGGGGCUGGGUCGGGAAGCGCCACGGCUUCUGCACAAUAAACUGCCAUUUUUUCGGAAUCCUCCUCACCCCUUCCUCUCAUCUGCAACCUGUCAGAUUUUUUUAUAUGCUAAUCUUUGAUUCCUCUAGAAUUUCUCUCGGUGUUUGGCGAGGGCCUUAGGGAGCCCAGACCCAGAACGCGAGCCUGGUUGAGAACGUGGAGAGACGCAGGUCGCUGGAACUCGCUGUCGUGGGAAACAGCGGCCACUCGCCGCCGAGGCAGAGGGCUCGCGGGCAGCAGCGGCGGCCGCAGGAGGCAGCCCGGAGGAGCCGGCGCCCGUUCUCCUCCCGCUCGGCUCUCCCCCAGCGCCCCCGCGGGCACCACCGGCGGGCAGCCGGCCGGCCGAGAGAGACGCGCUCGGCGUCCCAGCCCAGCGUCGCCGAGCGAGCGCAGGACGGCUCCGAAGCUGAGACAGUAGCCUAGGGAUCCGCACGUGGACCCUCACAUAUUAAAUGACCGGGUCCUUGGACUUGGGCUUCCCGUACGUGAAAAGGAUGGUCCCAUAGAAGACGACCACAACUGUGAGGUGGAAAGAGCAGGUGGAGAAGGCCUUUUUCCUUCCCUCAGCUGAGGGGAUCCUCAGGAUGGUAGCAAUGAUGAACACAAAAGAGAAAGAGAUGAACACAAC
ensembl:lncRNA